AAAAAAUCAAUCUAUGGGUUGAAACAAUCCCCUUGAGUCUGGUUCACUCGGUUUAGUAGUGCUAUGAUCAGGUUUGGCUACAAGCAAGGGCAAGUUGAACACACCUUGUUUGUAAAGCAAGCAGAUGAUGGCAGAAAAUCAAUUCUAAUAGUUUAUGUUAAUGAUAUAGUAAUAACUGGAGAUGAUACUCAAGAGAUUAAUAAAAAGCUCAAGAGAUGCCUACAAGCUGAAUUUCAGGUUAAAGAUCUUGGGAAGCUACAAUACUUCCUUGGAAUGGAAAUUGCGAGGAGUAAACAGGGUAUUUUUAUUUGUCAAAGG
rnacentral:misc_RNA from 1 species